UAUGUACGAGAUCCGAUCCUCGAUCCAAAGGGGCAGAUGCAAUAAUGAAGGCACACACAAGGCAAAAUCACUACUGAACAGUGGCAACAAAGAAAUGAUCAGCAAGUGCAUCGAGAAUUUCAGUAGCUAACCUCAAGGAGUGCGAGUCGAUAUUAAUUAAAUAAACGUGACAUUGGAAGAGCUAGAAACUAAUGAUCACAUCUCCGAUUCCAACAACCGCAACCAUUGCUAAGAAUGAGAAAAACAUCAACAGAGAAAAAUCAGCUACAAAAGUGAAUUCAUCAUCCAUGGCUGAGCAACGGCUGGCGGCAGACGAGACAUAUCCGGGUAUACUAGACAUUGCCGGAAUGGACUAUUCUCAGGCAAGAAGAAAACCUCCGAUUCAAAACUAAGCUUCAUCAAUUUUAUGGAAUAA